UGGGGAAUAUUGCACAAUGGGCGCAAGCCUGAUGCAGCCAUGCCGCGUGUAUGAAGAAGGCCUUCGGGUUGUAAAGUACUUUCAGUCGGGAGGAAGGUGUCAAGGUUAAUAACCUUGGCAAUUGACGUUACCGACAGAAGAAGCACCGGCUAACUCCGUGCCAGCAGCCGCGGUAAUCCGGAGGGUGCAAGCGUUAAUCGGAAUUACUGGGCGUAAAGCGCACGCAGGCGGUCAGUCAAGUCGGAUGUGAAAUCCCCGGGCUCAACCUGGGAACUGCAUGCGAAACUGGCAGGCUAGAGUCUUGUAGAGGAGGGUAGAAUUCCAGGUGUAGCGGUGAAAUGCGUAGAGAUCUGGAGGAAUACCGGUGGCGAAGGCGGCCCCCUGGACAAAGACUGACGCUCAGGUGCGAAAGCGUGGGGAGCAAACAGG
rnacentral:rRNA from 1 species